AUGUUCUAAUUGACUAGUUGAUAC
rnacentral:siRNA from 1 species